AGCCCCGAUGCCCCAAAUAAUAUAGCUCUGUAGUCACUCCUGACUUCCAUGUCAAGUCAGCCCAGCUUUCCUCUGGGAAUAAAUAAUCUGUAGCAGUUCUCAUCGGCAGGCAGCCAGCCUCCUUCUCAGGAAAAGUCCAAUGUCUUUGAGGUUUUCUAUCCUGUCAGGCACUAAGAAUAAGCUCUGCACCACAGGAGGUAAGCAGAUAAAGGCUAAAGCAAGGUACUGGAUAAAGGCUCCAGCUGUCCCAGGAGAUUUGUUUUCUUCCUCACACACCACCUUCAUCUCAAGGAAGGUCUCAAGAAUAGAAACACAGCAAGAUGGAGACUGAGCAGAGCCACAAGUCCAAGGCUUGGGGUGAGACACAGCAGCAUGGCGAAGGAUCAAUGCCAGUUGACUCCAAGACUGACCUGCUGCUGGCCAAGGCAGAGCCCACCAGUGACCGUGGUAGUACAUCUGGGAUAACACACUUUAAAAAGGGGGAAGUUAAACCCUGCACAACAUCAGCAGCUGCCAGAAGAGGGGAGUGAGAAUAUGUGAGAGAAAAAAACACUGUGAACACCAAGAUCAAUGAAGAAGGAAAGGAAGGAGGUGCUCCAGGUGCCAGAACAGACAUUUCCCUGAAGCCUCUGGAGGACCUCAUGCCAGACCAGGUGGAUGCACCCAAAGGAUGUUGUGAUCACCUGAAAAGAGAAACCCCUGCUGGAGAAGGCUUGCUGGCAGGACUUGUGACUCCACAUGGAACCCAUGCUGGAGCAGCCUGUUCCUGUAGGACUGCACCCCAUGGAAGCGACCCACACUGGAGAAGUUUGUUUAGAUCUGCAGGCUGUGGGAAGGACACAGGUUGGAGAAGUUCAUGAAGGACAGUCUCCCAUGGGAGGGACCCCACAGUGGAGCAGAAGAGUGUGAGUAGUUCUCCCCCUGAAGAAGAGUUAGUAGCAGAGACAGCAUGUGAUAAACAGACCACAAUCCCCAUUUCCAUACCCCUGCGCUACUGGGGGGAAUGAGGUGGAGAAGUUAGGAUUAAAAUUAGGCCCAUGAAGAAGAGAGGGGUGGGAGAAAAUGUUUUUAAGGUAUGGGUUAUUCAGUGUUACCCUAUUCUUGAUUUGAUUGGCAAUGAAUUAAAUUAAUUUAAUUGAAUCAUAAAAUAGUUUGAGUUGGAAGCGACCUCAAAGGUCAUCUGUUUCCAACUCCAUGCCAUGGGCAGAGACGGCACCCACUAGACCAGCUUGCUCAAAGCCCCACUCAAUUUGCUGUCUUUCUGCAAAUUUCUCUGGGCAACCAGCAUCUCAUCAACCUCACAAUAAGGAAUCUCUGUCUAAUAUCUGAGCUAAACCUAUCCUCUUUCAGUUUAAGCCAUCCCCCCCUUGUCCUAUCACUACAUGCUUUUGUAGAAUGUCCCUCUCCAGCUCUCUUGUAAGCUCCCUGUAGGUACUGGAGGUCUGCUGUUAGGUCUCCCUGGAGCCUUCUCUUCUGAGGCUGAAUAAUCCCAAUUCUCUCAGUCAGUCUUCCUGGGAGGGGGGCCCCAGACUUCUUAUCAUUUUUGUUGCAUUCACCUGAACCUCCUCUAACAGGUGAGUGAAUAUCUUUCUUACACUGAGGACCCCCCAGCUUUAAACAGAAGAAAGCAAGUCCUAACUUGGCCCAAACUUCUUCAGCUUCUAAAGCCUUCCUCAGAGAUUUGUGUUCAUCUGCUGAUAACCAGGGUCUCUUGGCCUAAAGGUUCAAAUUUCUACAGCAUCUACAUAGCAAUUUGACUUCAAGAUGCAGCUGGAUAUAUUUUCAUUGAAUAGUAAAAUAGUUAGCAGGUGCUUAUGCUUUGGAUAUGCCAUUCCUCACAAAAAAACUUUUAUAAAUGGAUAAAGGGAAUUCACACCCUAAUGCUGGUGACAUUUCUUCUUUUCCACAUAUACUGCAUUUACAGCCUAAUCAAAUAACUGUUCUCAGGCCAUGCUUUUUCAGCAGCCAGUCCUUCAGAAAUAAGAUCACUGAAAUAAAGAGUUACAGCUCACAUGCAGCACAAGGAGAGGUCCUGGUAGAGUGAAAGCAGUUUAUCUUCAACAAAAAGAAGAAAGACAUAAACACUUCUUUUGCUACCAACAACUAAUCAGAUAAACUUUCCAGUGGCAGUCUUCGAAAGUAAAGACACUAAGUUUGCUAGAAAUCAAGGGCAAGCACAGCAGCUAAAUUAUCUAUCCACCCACAUCUUUGCAUGAAAUUUCUACUUGAACGUUAUUAAUCAUUCAUGCCAUUGUUAACUUCUCUAUGGUGUGUUUGCUUUUCCCCUAUCAAUAUAUGCAUAAAUCUCUCUAAUUAAUACUAAUAUAAAUGUUUACUAUGGGAAGCCAGACAUUGGCUACACUGAAUUUCUAAUUCAGCUAAACAAAGUUACAGAUAUCAUUCAAAAAAGGGAAAAAAAUUACAACAUUUUAGUCCCCUAAAUUUUAGAAAUAUUUUUAGUAAACCAAUUGUGGGAUCUUGUGCAUUUCAAUCAUGGGGCUACCUAAGAGAUUUUUGACAUCCUUGCUAAACUAUAUUCCUUUUCAGAUGGAUAUCAGCAAAUACAUUUGGUCAACAAUAUAAAAACUUGCAAAUGUUUAAUGAAUUAUUUUAAGACUGAAAUAGUAUGAAUAGGAGAAAACCUCUCUGGGAGCUGAGUUCCAUAUAUACUUCU